UCUCGGGAUCAGAACUCCUGCAGGCUUCUUGUCACCACAGGGGUGACUGCCGAGAACAGGUAACAUGUAUUGAGCCACGCCAUGUGCUUUACAGUCUUGUGAGGCAGGCACUCCCGUGGUCAUCUCACUUGACACCAAGGAUGCAGAGGCUCGGAGGGAGCAAGUAACUAUCCCAAGGCCACACAGCUGGUUAGUGGUGACCCUGGCACUCCAGGUCAGGCAAUCUGAGGCCAGAGCCCCCACUCCUGGUUACGCCCCCCUUCCCCCAGCCCUCCAAGGCAAGGCCCCGAAUGGUGCAGCCCCUGCCCUCGGCAGCCCCACCGCACUCAACAGACCCUGCAGCUCCAGCCAUGUUGAACUCCCUUCCUCCCACCCAGAAGUGCCCCUUCCCUGUCAAGAGUCCCACCAGCUCCUCAAAGCUCAGCCUACUUGGUUCAUUCUUAGAGUGUUAGUGGGUUGUGUACCUGUCUGCUUCUCCCACCCCGCCAGAUGCUCCUGGAGGGCAGAGAAUCCUUCCAGCAGCCAGCACAGUGCCCUAGGCCUAGUGAGCAUCUUUAAAGGAGGGGAAGAAUGAUGGCUGGCCGGCUGGAUGGAUGAGAUGGUGGAAGGCUGAAGCCAGAAGCACCCCCCGCCCCUGACUCCAGCUUCACUGCAAUCCCUGCAGGACCAGUCCUAGGGACCAUUAAUUUUUUUAUGGACGAUCAAACCCGGAUAGAUUGGAAGGGCCACCACACAGCUGAUUCAAAAACAGUCACCAAGGCGCCAGGGACACCCAUCUGAGGGUCAACCAGGAGAGAUCCGCGCCCCUCUCCCCUGAGGGUGACUUUGACCACCUCCUUCCUCCUCCCUCCGGGAUGGCUCUGAAUCAGCCUCCACGCUCUGCUGCAAGGCUUGUGGCUGUAGAGGUGUUCUGUGAGCACCUGUCUGCCUGGCCUCUGGCCGGAUCUGCUUCUCUCCCGACCCCAGCCAUCCACUCCAUCAGCCUGACAGGCAGCCUCAGUGAGGCCCCAGGGGGUCCCCAGCUGUAGAGCACGAAGCCAAGGCUGGGCAGGGCCUGCCGGGCCCCUGGCCUUUUCUUACCUACCUUGCCCAUGAGCCGGCCUCCCUUACUCCCUCUCUGCUGCUGCAUGCUCCUGACACCUCUUUUCUGGAAGGGAGAGACUGGCCAAGUAGGGCCAUCUUCCUGGGUGUGUGUCUUGUGCAGUCACACAGGGCCUCGUACUUUGAAGGACCUUGUGUUUGGUUUAAUGCUCUGUUGUCAGUGUCUUGAAAUUACUAAUAAUUUUACAAGGAGUCCCACGUUUU